CCGAGGCUCGGAAGGGAGCGAGUUAAAUAAGGCCUCCGAGGUCACGUGUCCUGUGUCGCGUGGAGAGUAAGUGGGAAGCUUGCCCGCCUGGUUUUAUUGCUCUUUGCAGAUAUUGUGGGGUUCUUGUUUGUUUGUUUUGUUUUGUUUAGACAAAUUGGAGAUUUGUAGCACCCCUGCGUUGAGCAAGUCUGUCGGCGCCAUUUUUCAAACAGCCUUUGUUCAUUUCAUGUUUCUGUGUCCUAUUUUGGUCAUUCUCACAAUAUUUCAAACUCUUUCAUUGUAAUUAUAUUUAUUAUGGUGAUCUGCAAUCCGUGGUCUUUGAUGUUACUGUUGUAAUUGGGCAUAUUUUAGCAAUAAAACAUUUUUAGUUAAGAUAUGUACAUUGUUGUUUUAGACAUAAUGCUUGUUGCACACUUAGUAGACAACACGAUGGUGCAGACAACUUUUAUGUGCACUAGGAAAUCAAAAAUUUUGUGUGACUUGCUUUAUUGUGAUAUUUGCUUUUAUAUGGCAGUCUAAAACCAAACUCGCAAUGUCUCCGAGGUGUACCUGCAUUCAGACCUGGGCAGAGCUCCCACCCACGGGCCAUACAGAUCAGUGGAUUUGGUAAUAGUGAUGACCUCCCCCACCUACUGCCACCUUUAAGGCUUGGCCACUCUGAUAUUUUGAAAACCAAGCCAAAGCAUUCCGUAGCUUUAGGGACUAAAUGGCCUGGACCCUGGUAUCUAGCCACACUUGGGUCUGGAGCCCUAGGCUGUGGCAUGAGAGCUGCAGACACAGCUCUGACCCAAGCACCAAAAGACAACCAAGUCACAGGUUAUUCAGCGCUGUGCCCAAGGCCACACACGAGGCCAGGGUCACCUUUCCCCCACUGAAAGGUGACUCAGCCCCCAGCUGCACCACGGAACUGGGUCUGGGGGUUGACUGUAGAGGUGUCAGUAGUUAGAACUGUGGACUGGAUCAAAGAGAUGGAGAAAUGGAUGGAAGAUGACAGAUGGAAAGAAGGAAGGAUGGAAGAAGGGGAAGGAAGAGGAAGAAAAAAAAGAUAGAUUAAUGGAUAUAUCUCAGUUCAUAUUAAAAAAUCCCUUCUCUGCACUGACCCAGUGGUACCAGGUACCAGGGACGGGAAGAUGGCGGACCCAGUGCCCUGUACCCAGGGAGCUCACGUCUAGAGCAGGGUGUUUUAACCUUCUGUGUCCUGGACCCCUUUGGCAUCUGGCAAACCCUAUGGCCCCCUUCUCUGAAUAAUAUUUUUAAAUGCAAAAAAAAAAAAAAGGCAUAAGGGUGACAAAGGAAAGCAGUUAUAUUGAGAUACAGCUACCAAAUACAUAUAAAAAUGACAAAUUUGUGGCGUAAUAACACAUUUGCAUCUUUAUUAAGACGUUAAGUAACUAGAUUUGGCGGCAGGUCUAAUAACUACCAUAAUUUUGGAGCAGUGACAAGUGUGAAUAAUAUUUUGAGACAUCUGCUACCACAGCAGUGCAGUAGGAAAAUGUUUGUAAUUUCUAUUAGACUCCGAGCCUCGGGUCUUACUCAUAACGUAAGUGUGGUGCCUACGUUCAUAACUGAAGGACAUGCUAAGUUUCAGUUAGAGCUAGCGAAAAUAAUUAUGAAAAUCAAUGUGUACAUAUUUAAGACCCCCGGAAUUCUCUCCACAGAUCGCCCAAGUCCAUGGACACGUGGACAGGGACCCCUGGGCCAGAUGGAGAGAUGAGUCAUUGCCUACUCAUGUUACUCAGUGAGUUGGUGAACAGGGUCACCAAUAUUAUUUAAAUGAGUUGUCUUGCUGUCUCCCUCUCUCUGUCCUUUUGGGUUUUUUCUGACCAUUUAUAGUUGAAAUUGUAAAAGAAAUGGCCUUUUGCUAUUUCUCCCUUGUGGAAUGUUCUCAGGUCUAUGAUAAUGGAGGAGCACCCAGUCCAACCCAGGACACUCCUGGAAGGCUCCCUGGAGGAGUCGUUGCCCACACCAGGUCCUCAAGGGUGAGAGAGAGUAGGUCAGGAUACUCAGGGACGAGGGGGCACACAGGCCAUUUCCAACAGAGGGAACAGAGAUGAAAUGAUGGGUUCUAUCAGGAAAUCACAAAAAAAUGUGGCAUUAAUAGUAAGUAGGGAGAGGAGCAGAGAAUGGCAAGAGAUGGGCCUGAUGAGGGAGGCACAGGCCCAGAUAAUGUAGACCAUUCAGGGAGCUUGAGAUUUAUCGGGUAGGCAAUGGGGAGCCACUGAAGGUGUUUGAGCAGGAGAAUAACAUGGUCUAAGACCAGCGUAGGAAGACCAUUCUGGCUGCUGCUUGGGGAACAGAUUGGAAAGUUGAGCCUGGAGGCAGAGGGAUUAGAAAAGGGGUGUUCAGUCCAGGGGAGCUCUGAUGAAGGCCAUGACUGGUGCAGGGACAGUGGGAGAGGAGAGAAGGGGACACAUUUGAGGGCCAUUCGUAUGUUGAGUGAAUGGGGCAGGAUUUUGAACAGUUGGGGUGGAGAGGGAAGGCACAGAAAAAAUUGAGGUAAGAAUGUGUAAAUAAAGAACCAGUUUGGAGGGAAGAUGAAAUCCUUCACUGCACACGAGUUUGUAUAGUAUCUUGGGAGACUGACAAGGAGAUUGGCAAGGAGCAGGUGGCGCGGAGAAGAUCUUCAGGAGCCUCCCAUACCUGUUUGCCCAGAAGACCAAGCCUUGGGAGGGGACCUUCCCUGGACUUAGCAACAUGGAAUCUCGCACCCAGGACCAGCUUUGGGUGGAACUGCAGUGUCGCACGUUUAAUGCAGGCCUCCAUCUCCCAGGAAUGAACGGAGGCAAAGAGGAGUGAGAACUGAACCACUUUUUAAAAGAAAAACCUGCACUUUGCAGGGAUUUAUAUGCCUUUCUGGGGCUGAAUAAUAAAUUUUUUUACAGCUACAGCUGGAGUUAUAUAUGACCUUAUAAAAUGCCAUGAUAGCAUCUAACGAAUAUCGUAUUGCGGAAUAUAUAUGACUUUCUUUUCCAAGGGCUUUUUAAAGCAUCUGGCUUGUGCAGGCAGGAAAGCCUCACUGCACUUCAUCCGGGAGGACAGACAAGCAUCUUCUCUGGAACUGCUUGUCGCUGUCAAGGUUUCCAGGCCCUGAGGAGGCAGCCCCUGGCAGGGUGGGGGGCUGGCCUGGCACACAUGCAGAAGCCCUCGUGUUUGGGGGAUGUUGGCUCACCUGGAUCAAAGGUCAGCUGGCUCUUCUCCGUGGAAUUCAGCCUGGCUAGACUGGCCCUGACUGAUUUAGAAGUUGGCCUUUUACAGGGUAUGAGUGUCUCUUUGAUGGCCCUGGGAGAAUUCACACACACACACACACACACACACACACACACACACACACACACACACACACUCUCUCUCUCUCUCUCCCUCCCUCUCCCUCUCUCUCUCUCCCUCCUUCCCUCUCUCUCUGUUGGGGAGUUUCAGUGUCAGCAUCAUCUUAUUGGCCUUUGACUGCCCACCUCUUUUACUCCUUGCCCCUCCCCUUCCCCUGACCUUGCACAUCUGCUUCAGAAUUCACCAUCCUCCAGAAAAUAGGAUUUCCCUCCCACCGCCAGAAAAGUGCAAUUAAACACCAGUAUUGGGAAACACUAGGGAGUGGCAGUGGGGACCUAGGUUAAUUGUUUUCUGGUUAACUGAGAGUUACAGAACACUAUUGUUUCAGUCCUGGCUUUGAAAAUAUUUCCAAACUAUAUCAGUCUGUAUAUCACUGUACUCCCAGUGUAUGAAAUCCACUGCAGGUAACUGAAUCUGUUUGUGGUGAUUUAAUUACGCAGGGGUCGGGUUCCUCUCUGCAUCACAUGCCCCGUGCUUCAUCCGCGUCCACCUCUGCACCUUUCUCCAGCCUGUGUGCCCCACCUCCCCCGACUCCUACACGAAGUCUUCCCAACCAGCCCGGCAAAGCCCAGCUUUCGAGUUCUGAUGACAGCCUUUUUCAAAGUGAACUGGCGGAGCACGACAUCAUUUUCAGUAGUGCACGAAUACAUUUUAAAGAAAUUAAUUGCUAUCCAUUUAUGUUUCUAGUUACACUCUGAUGAUGACAAAAAUUAUACUUGUUUUCCCUCCAGUUUAUGGGUAACAUUUCCUUUUAAAAUUAGUUCAUUAAAGAAAAAGAUAGAUAAGCUGAUUUCAAGAGCCUUGGUAAGUAAACAAGAGACGCUGUGUGGAUAGGUCAAAAUCGAAACAGUUAGCAAAUGAAUGAUUAAAAUUUGGGAGAGGUGACUAUUCCUUGCUGUCCUCUUCCUCCUAAAUUCCCAGUGCAGCGGGUGGGUAAUUCAUUCAUUUUUCUGAUCUCAGCUUUCUCAUCAUGAUACCUGUUCUUAUUUAGAUGAUGACCGCCCCUUGUUCCAGGUGGCCAGCAGCUGGAUUUUGUUGGCUUCGUAAUUAAUUGAUCUUUUUGCUUGUGGGAUUUGUCGCUGUCCCUGAGGAACAGCAAAGCAGGCUCCUUUGGGGAAGGUUUUUGUAGACACCACUAAACUCUACACAUUCCUGAGUGGUCAGUAGGAAAAGGCCUUUCUAGAGAAGGAUUUACUUUUUGGCGGCAGGGUGGGGGGGCUCUAAAGUAUGUUUAUUUAAGUGAAAGAUGGGGCCGAUCCUCGCGAAUUCUGAGUCUGAGAAAGAGGCCAGUGGCAGGAUGGAGGCCAUAGUAGGCAGGGUCUGCUGCACCCGCCUUUCUGCUCGGAAGGGCCUGGCUGUAGAGAGAGGCCUUGGAAGCCCCGACUCAGUUCAGCUUGUCAGUGCUGAUGCACCUGGUAGGAGGAGACACUCAGCAAGCGAUUGUGGACUGAUGAUCGACUUAUUAUAAACACCCAGAACCAGCAUCCUCAGCAGUCGCUUGAGAUGUUAGCCGUACUGUCCUGGGUGGUGGCCACCAGCCACGUGGGGCUGCCUGGCACUUGACGCGCAGCUGGUUCAAGCUGGGCUGUGCUCUCGCCAGACCUAUUACGAAAGAGGUACCCCACUGGUACUUUUUCAUCUUGAUUCUGUGAUGAGAUGAUAAUAUUUUGGAUACAUUAGGUUAAAUAAAGUAUUCAAAUCAAUCCCAUUUCAUUCUCCUUUUCCAGUUAAAUUUCAAGCUACAUCUGUGGCUCACUCGAUGACAAGGGAGACUGGGCUAGAUCAGAGUCGAACCUUGGAACACAGUUUUUCUUUUUAAAUUGCAGUGUUCUCAGUUCCUAAGCUUGGGGUCUCCUGAGAGGAAACAAAAAGAGAUUUCAGUUAAUUGCUGGUUCUGGUUAGUUGAGUUCAGCUAAUCAGGGCUUCGCCUCUAAUUGCAUCCACUGUCCCCUCUCCCCGGGGGGCGCUGCACGCCGCUCUUGUUACUGAUUGCUCACGAUUUCUCCGUGGCCCCUGCCUGGGCUCCACGCAGAAAGGUGUAGGUUGCAAAGUUCAGAGGUCCUGCCCGCAGACACGUGGUAGGAUGACACAGAGUGCUGGAAGAAGAAUGACCACUGGGUGAUGUCAGUGGCCAGUCUGUGGAUGAAUUGAGAUUCGAUUAUCUGAAUGCCAGAGCCCUCGGUUCCUUCUCUUCAUGCACCUGCGAGAAGGCACUUAGCAAGAUGACCUCUUGAGGGGGACUUGGCAACAAUACAUUCUGCGAGUGUCUUAGCAGGCCGCCCUUUCUCAGGAAGCGAUGCAGGGUGUGAGGCAAGGGUUCCCAUCCCAGGGACCUGAGGAUGGCUGAGCACACGGCACCCAGGGCCGACAGAUGAGACAGGCAGCAGCUCGUUAGACCCAGGGAGGGGCGUGUCACGUGACACGAUGGGCCACACAGGGGGCGCACCGGAGAACAGAGUGACCGUGCAGGGGCUACGGGAGGCAGACUUUGUAGUACCAAGAGGGCGAGGUGACCACUGGUUCCCACAAGAGGAAGUGAUUGUCUUGUUUGAAUAAUUCCAAGGGCUGAUAGGGAGCUGAAGCAGGGAUAAGCAGGAACUGGGCCUGGUCCCUGUAGUAAGGGGGGCCGCUUGGCUAGGGGGCCUUAUCCAGGGGAGUAGAGUGGGUAGGGUAGUGACAUUCAGGCCGUUUGAGUCCCUCCUGGUUUCCCCCAGGUGUCACGGCAGCACAAAAUAUCAAUGUUAGCCCUUAUGCCACAGCGUGGUGGGGAAACUGGGUGGUGGAGCCAUCACGCCUGAGUUUGAAUUUUGCCUGGGUUAUUUAUUAGCAGUUCAGCCUGUAGAUCCUCAAUAUGCCCAUCAGUAGAAUGGGGAUGUUAACAUUUACCACACGUGUGUGUGUCUGCCUGUCUAGCUAUCUACCCCCCCCACACACACACACACACUUCUCCUUUCCGGAAGGGUGGUUUAAUCCCCCCACCACCUUUAAACAACAACAACAUAACCACAACCAAAUCAAGAACAGCAUUUAAUGAAAAACAGAUGCGUCAGUUGAGCAAACUGAGUUCUUCCAGCCAAAGGCUACAUCUGGGCCUCCGUGGACUCUUUCCGCGGACUUACCGAGGAUUUGGUUUUGCACGGCCAGCGGCAGACAUUGGCUCAUUCUGUUUCGGGGCCAAGGAGCCAGGCUGUUAGUUUAUGUAACGCUAAGAGGACACAGCCUCCACCCUCAUUUAGACACGGGUGUCCAAGUUCCAAGGGCUUUCCUUGGCUUUCCUUAGUGCAGGCAGCUGCCUGGGAGCCAGGCGCCCCACAGCGCGAUGGCUCUGAGAGGGCCGCGUGUGCUGCAGCCUGAGUCGCCCCUUCCUCCACCGGAGGCAGGAUGUUACCUUCUUGGCUUAGCGGUGGCCUUGCCCGUGAAGGAGCCUGAGGGACUGGCUGGGACCUGGUUGAGCAUAGUCGCCCCCUUCAUGCUGAACAGUGGGGCAACUGUUGGCUUUUUCCUUCCAGAUACAUGCACUGUCUUUCCUCAAAGACAGAACCUCAUCCUGGCAGUUCAAGUUCAAGGGACCGUCCUCAAGCUUCCAUAGCUGCUUCAGGUUCGUCUGCUAUGUGUGUUGGAGACUGUGCUCCUCAUUGCUCCCCUAACCCCGACCUUGGUGGGGUCGUUCUCUGUGGAAACCCCAGCCUUGGUCACCUCCUGGGAUCCUGGAGACGCGGCUGUGCUGAACAGCUCGGGACUGCCCUGGUAUGGUUCUUUGAGCAGUGUGGGUGAUGGUGUUCUGGAAUCCAGCAAACAGCCAGCAAAAUUUCAUAAUCCCAGGCCUGGAUCAACCCUCUUUUUGUCUCCUUCUGGGGAACAAAUGGAGAGUUGCGUGGACCUUGGUUAGCCCAGCCCAGCGAUUGGCUGUUUGCAAUUAAUCUGUUUACAUGCAUGAGUGUUUUGUUCAUCAACAGACAGUUCUUCAGUGAGCACAUGCUUUGUGUCAGAUAUAGUUCCUGCCCACGUGGAGCUCACAGCCAUGUGUGUGUGUGUGUGUGUGUGUUGACCUGUCACUAACAAAGCAGUGACAUUGAUGGAACACUCUCUGCACGUCAGGCAGUGGGGCUGAGAAUACCGUUCUCUGCUAAUCCUCACAACCACAUUCUACAUAGAUUGAAGGAACACUUAGUAUGUGCGAGGCGCUAUACUAAACUUAUCAUUUAGAGGUAGAACCUUCUAGAACCUAUCCUCUUAUUAACCCCAUUCCACAAAUGCAGAGACCCAAACUGAGCAGUCCAGUGCCUCACCUGGGGUUAUACGUCCAGAAAGUGGCCGGGCUGGUACCCAUACGUCGUGCCCCUAAUCACAAAGGUCAACUGCCUCUUCUGUAUCCAAGGGUAUCUCAGUGGGAGUGUCUACAAAUUCACGUGUGUCCAUGUUUGUGUGAGCAGCAGACCCAAAGCCAGGAGUUGCUGGUUUUAAGAGUGUGCUUUACCCCUUUGGCUACAAUACCUACUUCCGUGAGUCUUGGUUUCCUUAUUACUAAAGCAGUUGAUGGUGUCUAUCAGCCUUUUGGGAUAUGAGCACGAGGAGGGUUUGAGGCAAUGAGAUGAUGUUCAAGAAAGGCCAUUGUCUGAAAAGAACCAUGUGGAUUAAGAACCAAGAAAAGAAUCAUACAGAUGGCAAGAGUAACUACUGGGCGAAGAGAGUUAAUUUUUAUCGGUUCUCUACUAAGUUUUCCAUUUGAUGCUCAUCGUAACCCAUAAGAGUGGGUAUGUAUUAUUACCCCCGUAUUAUGAAAGAGGGAAACGGAGUCUCAGGGUAACACAGUGGUGGAGACCAGGUUUGGAUCCAGGUCUGGCCCAAUCCAGGGCCCGUGUCCUUUGUUCUAGACCAGUGGUUGGUAAACCAGGGCUCAUGGGCCAAGUUCCUAGCCAGCUGUCUGCUUUUGUCAGUGGCCUUUUAUUAGGAACACAGCCACACCCAUUCCUUGCAGACUGUCUGUGUCUGCUCUGAGCUCUAACAGCAGAGCUGAGCCCCUGUGACAGAGACCACAUGACCUCCAAAGCUGAAAGUCUUUGCUCUCUGAGCCUCUACUGAAACAGUUUGCAAACUCUUGUUCUAGACUUUGAGAAUGACUUUUUAAAGUGGGUUGAAGAAUAUGAAAACGAAUAUAUGUAUGUAUAUGCAUGACUGGGACAUUGUGCUGUACACCAGAAAUUGACACAUUGUAACUGACUGUACUUCAAUAAAAAAAAGUGGGUCAAAAGAAAUGCUACAAAAUGUGAACAUGCACACAUACUGUGUAUAUUACGUGUGUACGGCAAAACUUCAGCCAUCUGGAGCCUCUGGGAGAUAAGACAAUCCUAAUUUUCUCAAGAGUUAAGUUCUACUCGUAAGGAAUAUUUCUAAAUUAUAUCACCCAUUUUCCUACCUUCUGAAGCAGAGUGUGCUGGGCAUGUGUUUUAACUUUCUGCGAAGAAAUCUCACCAUCAUUUCAAGCACUAGGUUUCAGAUUCUAUUAAAAGCACCGAGGACUCUCGAUGGCAUCAGGAAUGCUGUAGCUCUUCACUCAAUGGCCCCAGAGUCUUUUUUUUCCUCAAAUCUUUCUGUCUGCUUUUUGAUCAUUUCUCCUGCUCUUACAUUUCUUGCCCGCUAUUAUUUCUCACCGCUUUCAGUGUGGCUGAUUGUAACCCUCAGCGGGCUCUGCUUCUCAGACUCCAGGAAGCAUCAGACUCAUUAGAAAUGUACACAGAGUAAGUAGCUUGUGGCGGUGAACCUGAAGCACCCGUGCCUCCGUCCUGUCCGUGGCUGUCCUGGAGAGCAGAGGUCCGUGGAAGCAUUGGUUUCCUUCUGUUGUCCAAAGGCAGGAAGUGGACCAAGUUUCCCUCCCCACGAUGGCCCUGUUGUCCCAGGGUUCAGACCAAGAUAGCCGAGGAAACCACAAGCCCUGGAAACAGAUGAAGGAUGAGGAGGGGACAGCGGGCGGCCCCCGGCCAGUAGAGGAGGGGCUGCUGCGCAGUGGUUUUUAGGAACCAGGAUGAUCAACUUUUCACAAUGUGAAAAAUCCUAAUGGGAAUACUGCCUUCUGGAAAGCAAAGUGACCUGCCUGGAACAAGAAGGCAGCGGGAGACCUGCGGAGACCCUGAAGGUCCCCAGAAACUGAAGACUCAAGAACUUCUUGGGGACGGGUCCCCUGCAGAGAGAAGGCAGCCUGCCUGUCUUCGGACUCUCGGUACAGCUAGCAUCUCACACACUGUAGAGUUCACAGAAAGAGCCACCUAGUGGCCUGAACAACUGUGGUCCAUCGGGUCUCCCAGAACCACCUUCUGCUGGGUCGUCUGAGGAUAACGGGGAGCUCCUUUGUCUGAGUCCAGCCAGACUUCGGAAGUCAGGGCACACUGGCCAGAAAAGGUCCACUCAGCAGCCCCUUGAAUAAGGAACUUGUCCAAUAGCAAACCAUCUGUUCAACCUGGACGGAACAUGGUCUUGGGGAGGGGUGUCUCUACGCAGCACAGGAAGGGCAAGAGGAGACAGGAACAGCCCUUUCACAUGCUCCCUGGGCACCCAGCCUCUCUUCAGUACCUCGUUCCCCUUUCCAACUCUCUGGGGCUGCACAGGCCUGGCUCUUCAACCUGCUUGGAGAACCUCUUCUAGCCUCA